ACCUUCUCCUGCGCGUUUGCGUUGCAAACAAAACCGGUGCUUAAGGCGGGGAGGGGGGCAGGGUGUCUUGAGUUUUCACCAGAGCCUGUCGCAGGGUUGCCAGGAAGCCAGUGGCCUACUUCAGAGUCACAGUGUUACACUUGGACCUACGUGGUUAUCACCAAAAUGAGCUUUCAAACACACUGUCCUGUUGGGGUUUAUUAUGAGGAAUUGGCUCACGUGAUUAUGGAAGCUGAGAAGUCCUAAGAUCUACUGUCUGAAGGCUAGAGACCCAGGAAAGCCAGUGGUGAAGUCCAAUCUGAAUCCCCGAAGCCCUGAGGACCAGAGUGCAUGGUGUAAAUCCCUGUCCAAGGGCAGGAGAAGACAGAUGUCCCAGCUCAAGCAGUCAGGUCCUGGAAGGAUGACCUUGGUGUGAAAACUGGAGGGCUCAGGUAUG